rnacentral:rRNA from 1 species
UACGGGGGGGGCGAGCGUUGUUCGGAAUCAUUGGGCGUAAAGGGUGCGUAGGUGGCAUGGUAAGUCGGGUGUGAAAUCCCGGGGCUCAACUGGGGAGGGUCACUCGAUACUGAUCGACUCGAAGGCAGAAGAGGGAAGCGGAAUCCCGGUGUAGUGGUGAAAUGCGUAGAUAUCGGGAGGAACACCAGUGGCGAAGGCGGCUUUCUGGUCGUGC